rnacentral:sRNA from 1 species
ACAGCUGCUGAAGUUCCCGCUGGGCCCAUGCCCCCGUUAUGAGCAGCUGCAGAACGAGACCCGGCAGACACCAGAGUAUCAGAAUGAGAGUUCUCGGAAUGCAGUGAGUAGGGGCAGAGGUGGAGGUCACCAUGCUGUCUUUUCCCCAGAGCAGGACUGAGACCCUGAUCCAUUUUUCAUAGCAAUUUCUGGACAUGGUGGCCAACGAGACAGGGCUUACAGACCUGACACUGGAGACCGUCUGGAAUGUCUAUGAUACACUCUUCUGUGAGCUGGAAAAGAAAGUUCUAGACUGUGGCCCAGAAUAGGGCUGGGGCAGCUCCCAGAGAAUGAAUAGUGCUGUUUCCUAUUGG